UAAAUUUUAGUGUUAUCAAACUCUCCCACACUUAAACCUUUGCUUGUCCUCAAGCAAAAAAUUAAAAAGGUCAUAAAAGAAAAACUGGUGCAAACGAGCGCUUCAGGUAAAAAUUCUAAGUUCAACUCGGGAUGCAGUGAUAUGUACUAACUGAGUGAACUAAGGGUAUCAUGAUGACUCUAAUCCGCAACUACGGACAUAAA
rnacentral:lncRNA from 1 species